AUCACCAUCAAAAGCAAUAUAAAAUUCAAGCCUCCUCCCAAGUGUCGUUCGACUACGCCUGCACCAAGUUUACCAAUCCAGCGCACAAACCCAAACCGAAAUAGAAAACAUUAGUGGGAAAGUUAAAGCGUGCCGCGCGUAGAUCGUUUAAACCAUGCCGGAACAAAACAAAAACAAAGUAACGGAAAAUGUUAAUAGACCCUCAAGAUUUCAGCAAUGUGUAAAAAAAUGUUCAGGUACACUGAGAUUCAGUUUUAUUUUUGCCAGUGCAAUACACAUAACCAAAAUUGUAAUUGCUGCUAUUUAUUUCCACAAAUGUCCCGUGGAACCGGAAAUUCCAAAGUAUCUGUUGGUAAUGGGUAUUAUUGGCGUUGUAACAAAACUUAUAAUGCUAUUUAGAAAUUUCAUCAUCAAAUGUAUUAAAGUCACUCCGAUUUUAUCUUUAUUAGCAACUGUCGAACUAACAAUUUUUAUAAUUGGAUCUUAUUACAUAUACAGAGAAUUUGAACCCAGUUACGAGCCCCAAAGUGGAGAAAAAUACUGCGACAAAACGUUAUAUCUAUUUUCGUUUAUUUACAUCACGAUAAUUUAUGCUUUACUGUUGUUAGCUAUACUGAUUGUUAGUUGCUUCAUCUUGGCCGUUGUUUUACUCGAUAAAUUAGGUCCAAAGGAGCGUACGCACGAUGCAGAAAAUACAACUGAAAUUCCGCUUGCAACCGAGCAGGGAUCCACGGAGAAAUAGUAUAUCUCUAAUAAUAACUCUGUAUCAUUCAUGCAUUUGUUUUCUGCAAUUAAAGAUAUUUCAGCCUAUCUCUGUUUGCUUUCACUUUCCCGUCCAGCAAUACUAAAUUAAGAGUAUGAAAUUUUUAUUUGAUCAAAAAUAUCGACUGACCUAUAAAUCAUCGAAUUAACCUUGGUUACGCUGAGUUCUAGCACGCCCACAAUGGCGUCGCGUAGUCCUAGUAAACAAAGUGGCCACCAUUCUGUUUAGUAGUCUCGAUGCUAGGAUAACGGACAGACGUGGCUAGACUGAGAUGCGGUGAAUUUGUUUGUUACAUCGAACGUAAUGGAUCAGCAACAACGAGGCGAUGAUUCAAAAAACAAGAAGGUGGUAGUUCAAGAUUCCAUAAAAAAACUUAAGGAAAAGUUAGUACCCGGAAUAAAAUAUGGACUUCUCAUAUCUGCAAUCAUCAAUUUGUCUAUGCUGGUUGUUGGUUGUCUCAAUGUUCACAAGUGUCCCGUCAACAAGCAUAUUCCGCUCUUUUUAAUAGCUACUGGAGCAAUUGGUUUGAUGUCUAAAUUUGUAAGUUACGUACGUGAUCGAAUCUCUGCACAUGUGCAGGUAGUAUACUUCGAGUCUGCUUUAUAUAGUGUCGAAACAAUCUUCUUUUUCCUAGGGACUUACUGGGUCUAUAAGGAAUUUCAACCAAGUUAUGAUCCCAGCGCGGGGGAUUUAUUUUGCAACAAGGGCGCCUAUAUACUUGCAUUUACCUAUAUUACGAUUUUCUACGCGUUUAUAAUCGCUAUAAUCUGUGGAUUUUGUUGCUUCUUAUGUUGCAUCUUACUCAUUACGUCGGCAUGUGACCAAUGCAUGGAUGUGGAAUACUCGUCUUCAAAUCCGGAAGUGACCACGUCCCUAACAGUAGUAUCAACCAAAGAUAGCGAUGAAAUCGUAAAAACUCAUCAUUAAUAUUGCUUCAUACACAAAUAUACUUCCAUCCAAACGCGCAAAGCAUGUUACAUGUAAACAUUUCGUGUAUUUUUGAUACUUGUUGAAAACGCCCUAUUUAUACCUGUUAUUAGACUGUUGUUACAAAGAUUGACGUUGUAAAAUCGCCUUUAUCUAUAGAACUCACUAUGUUUACGCUUAGCUUGUUACUGCAGGACUCUGUCACCAGAAAAUGAGUUCUAGAGGUACAUCCGAUACAGAAAGGCUUAUUUUAAUAUAAUGUAAGUGCAUGUAGCUUCUACAAUAUUAAGGCAAUUUGUUUUAUAUUAAAACAAAGUGUGAAAGAUCUGUAACAGUUAUUUUUACUAAAUACGAAAGUUUGUU